CACCGCUCGUGACGUAUAGGCGCGGCGUUCGUUCGUAAGCUCCGACCAACGCAGACGCUCUGUUGGGUUUACGCUGCGACUGUGGUGUGUCAUCGUUUGUCAAGGUAUAAAGGGAAGUGAAGCUCUAAAAUGGCAGGAUACCCACAACAGAACUACUACCCACAACCACAGCCUGGCUUCCAGACGGGGCCACCCCCCGGGGGUUACUACCCACCCCCUCAGCCUGCUCCCACGCAAUACUACGCCCCUCCCCCACCACCUCAGGCGACCACAGUAAUUGUACAAGAGCCGAAGAAGGACGACGACUGCUUGAAAAAUUGCUGUCUAUGUACCCUCUGUAUGGCGCUGUGUUGUUGGUGCUGUACGGACUGAGGACCGCGACAUUUUCCGUGCUCCCAAAAACGUGGUGCACAGAUAGAAACCCUUCUGCUGCAGCUUCUUUCAUGAAGCAUUUUUUUACAGACAUUUCUGCAAGGACGUUUUUUACGACAAAGAGUUCAAAAGUGGGCCUCUUCAGAAACGCGGAGCUCACAAACAGAUGCCUCUCCUCAACAGCCUGCUGUUGAUGAAGGGCAAAACGCUAUGUCUUCCGUAAAGUGCCUGUUGUAGUCAUCCCGCCAUUGUUGGGAACGUGUUAACUGUAUCGUUUAAUGUGCCCAAAAAGCUGCAGGUAUGAUGUGAUAUCUUAUGCUAGAAUUCAAACGUCGGUCUUUCGUGUAACAAAAAUAUUGAUUCUGUGGAAAAUUUAUAUUUUAGGGUUAUUUGAGGGCGCUGCCUAUUGCAGAGUAGCUCCUUGAGCUCGUUCGAGUGAGGCAAUCGUUCGCUGUGGUGACUUUACAUCGUGGCACUAUUCCUCGCUUAAAAACGCCCAUAUGCACACCUCUAUGAUGUAACUUUUAUUAAGGAAACUCACAGGGCGGAAUGCAAUCCUUUAGACGUGCCUUUAAUGCCUGAUAGACGUAACAAGUGCCUUAUACCGUAGCGCCUACGGUGAUGUAUACCGAAACAUGUAAAAAAUAUACCAAACUUGUACGAUUUUCGUCCAGUUUUCGACCAAUGUUUCGAAACAAGUUGGGUGACAUUGGGUUUCGUAGAUAAAUUCAAUUGCGUUUUUGUGGGUGUCGACAUUAAAUUUACUGCCCUUGUAUGGCGACAUUUC